AUCGGGGACUUUAAUGAAAUUCUAUAUUCCCAUGAGGAGGAAGGAGGGGCUCCACGUCCAAGUCAGAUGAUGCAAAACUUCAGAGAUGCAUCGGUGGAUUGCCAACUGGAGGACAUGGGAUAUGCGGGUGAAAUAUUUACUUGGAGAAGGAGGAGACUGAGGGAAAGGUUAGACAGAGGUGUGUGUAAUGGUGCGUUCCAUGCACUAUUCCCGAAUGCAACCAUAACCAAUGCUGAGCAUUCUAAAUCAGAUCAUCGUCCUUUGGUC
rnacentral:rRNA from 1 species